GUAUUCUCCACUGGUUGAAUGCAAAUGGAAGCCAGAGGAAAAGGGAACCCUUGACACAGUUUUCAUAUAGACUGGCCUCCAGGGCAGACAGCAGUUGCUCUGGCUGUAUCAAAUAAAAGUGUCAAGAGUGAGCAUCCUUGCAUUGUGCUGAAUCACAGAGGAAUACCUUUCAAUUUUUCUCCAUUGACUAUGAUAGCAGUGGGCUUUUCACAUGUGGGCUUUACUGUGUUGAGGUACCCUAAUGAUAAGUUCACCCCAGUGUUUUCUGAGGAGUCUACCUGGAAAUGAGAACCAUCUGUCCUUCCUAUAGUAGUUCUUCUCAGAAUGCCGACUCUAUGCUAAUG
rnacentral:sRNA from 1 species